rnacentral:rRNA from 1 species
UGGGGAAUAUUGGACAAUGGGCGCAAGCCUGAUCCAGCCAUGCCGCGUGAGUGAAGAAGGCCCUAGGGUUGUAAAACUCUUUUCUCAGGGAAGAAGAACUGACGGUACCUGAGGAAUCAGCAUCGGCUAACUCCGUGCCAGCAGCCGCGGUAAGACGGAGGAUGCAAGCGUUAUCCGGAAUUAUUGGGCGUAAAGCGUCCGCAGGCGGCCGUUCAAGUCUGCUGUCAAAGCCCGCAGCUCAACUGUGGAUGGGCAGUGGAAACUGAAUGGCUAGAGCGUGGUAGGGGUAGAGGGAAUUCCUAGUGUAGCGGUGAAAUGCGUAGAUAUUAGGAAGAACACCAGUGGCGAAGGCGCUCUACUGGGCCACGACUGACGCUGAGGGACGAAAGCUAGGGGAGCGAAAGGGAUUAGAUACCCCCGUAGUCC